UACGAAGGGGGCUAGCGUUGCUCGGAAUUACUGGGCGUAAAGGGCGCGUAGGCGGCCUACUAAGUCAGACGUGAAAUCCCCCGGCUUAACCUGGGAACUGCGUCUGAUACUGGAAGGCUUGAGGAUGGGAGAGGGAUGUAGAAUUCCAGGUGUAGCGGUGAAAUGCGUAGAUAUCUGGAGGAAUACCGGUGGCGAAGGCGGCAUCCUGGACCAUUACUGACGCUGAGGCGCGAAAGCUAGGGGAGCAAACGGG
rnacentral:rRNA from 1 species